GCCUCGGUGGUGUAGUGGAAAGCACGCCAAACCGGAUAUCUGUAAGUGCGAGUACGAGUCCCGCCUGAAGUU
rnacentral:tRNA from 1 species